rnacentral:rRNA from 1 species
GGUUAAGCGACUAAGCGUACACGGUGGAUGCCCUGGCAGUCAGAGGCGAUGAAGGACGUGCUAAUCUGCGAUAAGCGUCGGUAAGGUGAUAUGAACCGUUAUAACCGGCGAUUUCCGAAUGGGGAAACCCAGUGUGAUUCGUCACACUAUCAUUAACUGAAUCCAUAGGUUAAUGAGGCGAACCGGGGGAACUGAAACAUCUAAGUACCCCGAGGAAAAGAAAUCAACCGAGAUUCCCCCAGUAGCGGCGAGCGAACGGGGAGCAGCCCAGAGCCUGAAUCAGUGUGUGUGUUAGUGGAAGCGUCUGGAAAGGCGUGCGAUACAGGGUGACAGCCCCGUACACAAAAAUGCACAUACUGUGAGCUCGAUGAGUAGGGCGGGACACGUGGUAUCCUGUCUGAAUAUGGGGGGACCAUCCUCCAAGGCUAAAUACUCCUGACUGACCGAUAGUGAACCAGUACCGUGAGGGAAAGGCGAAAAGAACCCCGGCGAGGGGAGUGAAAAAGAACCUGAAACCGUGUACGUACAAGCAGUGGGAGCCUCUUAAUGGGGUGACUGCGUACCUUUUGUAUAAUGGGUCAGCGACUUAUAUUCUGUAGCAAGGUUAACCGAAUAGGGGAGCCGAAGGGAAACCGAGUCUUAACUGGGCGUUAAGUUGCAGGGUAUAGACCCGAAACCCGGUGAUCUAGCCAUGGGCAGGUUGAAGGUUGGGUAACACUAACUGGAGGACCGAACCGACUAAUGUUGAAAAAUUAGCGGAUGACUUGUGGCUGGGGGUGAAAGGCCAAUCAAACCGGGAGAUAGCUGGUUCUCCCCGAAAGCUAUUUAGGUAGCGCCUCGUGAAUUCAUCUCCGGGGGUAGAGCACUGUUUCGGCAAGGGGGUCAUCCCGACUUACCAACCCGAUGCAAACUGCGAAUACCGGAGAAUGUUAUCACGGGAGACACACGGCGGGUGCUAACGUCCGUCGUGAAGAGGGAAACAACCCAGACCGCCAGCUAAGGUCCCAAAGUCAUGGUUAAGUGGGAAACGAUGUGGGAAGGCCCAGACAGCCAGGAUGUUGGCUUAGAAGCAGCCAUCAUUUAAAGAAAGCGUAAUAGCUCACUGGUCGAGUCGGCCUGCGCGGAAGAUGUAACGGGGCUAAACCAUGCACCGAAGCUGCGGCAGCGACACUAUGUGUUGUUGGGUAGGGGAGCGUUCUGUAAGCCUGUGAAGGUGUACUGUGAGGUAUGCUGGAGGUAUCAGAAGUGCGAAUGCUGACAUAAGUAACGAUAAAGCGGGUGAAAAGCCCGCUCGCCGGAAGACCAAGGGUUCCUGUCCAACGUUAAUCGGGGCAGGGUGAGUCGACCCCUAAGGCGAGGCCGAAAGGCGUAGUCGAUGGGAAACAGGUUAAUAUUCCUGUACUUGGUGUUACUGCGAAGGGGGGACGGAGAAGGCUAUGUUGGCCGGGCGACGGUUGUCCCGGUUUAAGCGUGUAGGCUGGUUUUCCAGGCAAAUCCGGAAAAUCAAGGCUGAGGCGUGAUGACGAGGCACUACGGUGCUGAAGCAACAAAUGCCCUGCUUCCAGGAAAAGCCUCUAAGCAUCAGGUAACAUCAAAUCGUACCCCAAACCGACACAGGUGGUCAGGUAGAGAAUACCAAGGCGCUUGAGAGAACUCGGGUGAAGGAACUAGGCAAAAUGGUGCCGUAACUUCGGGAGAAGGCACGCUGAUAUGUAGGUGAAGUCCCUCGCGGAUGGAGCUGAAAUCAGUCGAAGAUACCAGCUGGCUGCAACUGUUUAUUAAAAACACAGCACUGUGCAAACACGAAAGUGGACGUAUACGGUGUGACGCCUGCCCGGUGCCGGAAGGUUAAUUGAUGGGGUUAGCGGUAACGCGAAGCUCUUGAUCGAAGCCCCGGUAAACGGCGGCCGUAACUAUAACGGUCCUAAGGUAGCGAAAUUCCUUGUCGGGUAAGUUCCGACCUGCACGAAUGGCGUAAUGAUGGCCAGGCUGUCUCCACCCGAGACUCAGUGAAAUUGAACUCGCUGUGAAGAUGCAGUGUACCCGCGGCAAGACGGAAAGACCCCGUGAACCUUUACUAUAGCUUGACACUGAACAUUGAGCCUUGAUGUGUAGGAUAGGUGGGAGGCUUUGAAGUGUGGACGCCAGUCUGCAUGGAGCCGGCCUUGAAAUACCACCCUUUAAUGUUUGAUGUUCUAACGUUGGCCCCUGAUCGGGGUUGCGGACAGUGUCUGGUGGGUAGUUUGACUGGGGCGGUCUCCUCCUAAAGAGUAACGGAGGAGCACGAAGGUUGGCUAAUCCUGGUCGGACAUCAGGAGGUUAGUGCAAUGGCAUAAGCCAGCUUGACUGCGAGCGUGACGGCGCGAGCAGGUGCGAAAGCAGGUCAUAGUGAUCCGGUGGUUCUGAAUGGAAGGGCCAUCGCUCAACGGAUAAAAGGUACUCCGGGGAUAACAGGCUGAUACCGCCCAAGAGUUCAUAUCGACGGCGGUGUUUGGCACCUCGAUGUCGGCUCAUCACAUCCUGGGGCUGAAGUAGGUCCCAAGGGUAUGGCUGUUCGCCAUUUAAAGUGGUACGCGAGCUGGGUUUAGAACGUCGUGAGACAGUUCGGUCCCUAUCUGCCGUGGGCGCUGGAGAACUGAGGGGGGCUGCUCCUAGUACGAGAGGACCGGAGUGGACGCAUCACUGGUGUUCGGGUUGUCAUGCCAAUGGCACUGCCCGGUAGCUAAAUGCGGAAGAGAUAAGUGCUGAAAGCAUCUAAGCACGAAACUUGCCCCGAGAUGAGUUCUCCCUGACUCCUUGAGAGUCCUGAAGGAACGUUGAAGACGACGACGUUGAUAGGCCGGGUGUGUAAGCGCAGCGAUGCGUUGAGCUAACCGGUACUAAUGAACCGUGAGGCUUAACCUU